rnacentral:rRNA from 1 species
GAAUAAGCUACAAAGAGCAUACAGGAGGAUGCCUUGGUACAUGGCGCCGAAGAAGGACGUGACAAGCUGCGAAAAGCUACGGGGAGCUGCAAAUGAGCAUAGAUCCGUAGAUAUCCGAAUGAGGGAACUCAAUACAAGUAAUGUUGUAUUACACCGUAAUGAAUUCAUAGUUACGAGUGAGGGAACCUGGGGAACUGAAACAUCUAAUUACCCAGAGGAAAAGAAAGAAAAAUCGAUUCCGAAAGUAGUGGCGAGCGAAAU